ACAUGCUGUCGAGCGUAGAAGAAGCUGUUUGUUGAGAGCGCGGACGGGGAGUAAGCUAGGAUCUGCUGGUAGUGGGGAUAACUCGGGAACGGACGCUGAUACCGCAUACGUCCUACGGGAGAAAGCAGGGACUUCGGGCCUUGCGCUAUCAGAUGAGCCUAGGUCGGAUUAGCUAGUUGAUGAGGUAAUGGCUCACCAAGGCGACGAUCCGUAACUGUCUGAGAGGAUGAUCAGUCACACUGGAACUGAGACACGGUCCAGACUCCUACGGGAGGCAGCAGUGGGGAAUAUUGGACAAUGGGCGAAAGCCUGAUCCAGCCAUGCCGCGUGUGUGAAGAAGGUCUUCGGAUUGUAAAGCACUUUAAGUUGGGAGG
rnacentral:rRNA from 1 species